rnacentral:lncRNA from 1 species
ACUUCAGAAAGUUUCCUUUUAUAAAGUCUCUGAUGGCAGGGAAGAUGUUUAACAGAGUUUCUAUUGGCUCCCAGAAGAUAGCAAUGUCAGGAGUCAGGUCUAUAUAAUCCCUUCCUGCUGUCGGAGCCCACUUUAAGGGCCUGGAGGAGACCUUACAUGGUUUUAGGGAGCUGAGGCUGUGAACUGAAGACAAGGGGAUAACAAUUGCCAUGAAUGGACACUGCUUUCUCCAGAGACUUGUCUUUCUCCUCUCCAUUAUCCUGGUGGAUGGUCAAGAUUACAUAAGUGUUCCAGAAAAAAUAUAGGGGAUUCCCAUAUGCCCCACUCCCUAAAAAACAGGCAACUUUGCCAUCAUCAGAAG